rnacentral:lncRNA from 1 species
CUGGAAUCCCUUAACACCCAAAGCACAUUUCAUGAAGAUAUGUGGUGGAGUGUACUGCUAUUUAGCCAGAAACACAGUCUUGACCUGAGAAUUUAGCCAAUUCUCAUCUUUGAGGCAUUAUUUUCUCCAUUUCAAAAUGAAGGGGUUGGACAAGAGUCUUUGAGAGCCAAAUUUGGGAAAACCUUCAGACUCCCUUCCAGACUAAAUAAUGGAUGGUAUUUAUCUUGUUUUUAAAAGAUGACAGCCAAUUAAAAUUUGAGUAUUUGGAUGACCGAAGAAGCAUCCAGAAUAGCAUUGCAAAUGGGAGGCAGUAAGAGAGAAACACAACAAAAAUUUCUGAGUUGAAGUAAUGAUAUUUGUCAUUUGUUACAGAAGCAGAGGCAAGUUAGGAAUAGCAAAUUUUCUAUCAUUUGCCUUCACCUUUCUUUCUGUAAAGGAGAUUACUGGUGAGGGUUUUCAUGGGGAUGGGAUGAAGUAGCAUAUACCUUAAAGAAUUCUGAAAUGUUACCUUGUUUCUUUCGUAGUAACAAUACUAGUUAACAUUUAUUGGGUCUCACUGUGGGCCAGGAAAUAUGCUACAUGUUAUAGUUGUUCUAGUAUAUUAUUUAAAUCCCAUAAGAAAGAGUAGUUAGAACCAUUAUCAUCUUCAAUUUCCAGUAGAAGAAUUGCUUUAUGGUUUGGGCAUGAGGUGUCCCCAAAAAGUUCCUGUUAGUCAGGUUAUUCAGAAGUAAAUGACUAGGUUAUAAGGGCUGUAACCUAAUUAUCCUAGUUUGAAUGGAUGAUUCAAACUAGAUGGUGGUCAUAGGCAGGUGAGGGGCAUGACUAGAAGAGGUGGGUCACUGGGGGUAUGCUCUGGAAGGGUUGUUCUCUGUAGCCCCCACGUCUGCUUUCUAACCCCACCAGGAGCUGAGGAGCUUUUCUCUUCUGGGCCCUUCUCCCAGGAUGUUCUGCCUCAUCUUGGGCCCAAAGCAAUGGAGUUUAAGACCCCUGCAACUAUAAACCAGAAUAACCUUUUCCUCCUCUAAGUUGUUUACAUUGGGUAUUUUAGUCACAGCAACACAAAAGCUGACUAAAGCAAACAAAGAUUUAGAAAGAAUUAAGGAACAUCCAAAGUCAGUUAGGCAAGAAAGUGGCAGAACCAGAACCCUCUUGUUUCUAAGUCCAUUCUAAUAACUUUUAUCCUGUUGCUAGUUAAAUUCACUAUGCUUCAGUGACCACAGACUGAACCCUUAAUCCAGUUAGCAUUCUGGGGGGAAAUCACAUUACUGGUGAGAAGUAGAGUUGGGUAAGAAUGGAGAAAGAGGUUACAUUAAAACCAUCUCCAUUGACUUGGGGUAAGGAGAAAGGGAAACAAAAAUCAUCAAGAACAAAACCCUUGCAGCACAUAUCCUGCCAAGAUAGGUCAUCAGUAUGUCAAAACAAUAGACUUCCUAAUUCUGUGACCAAGAGAAAGGUUGAGAAAAACAUGUCUAACUUGUAACAUUUCAAAGUAGAAUAUUAUGAGUAUUGAAAGUAAAGUGAAGAAACAAAACAUUUACUGUCUGCUCAUAACUUCCAAUACUAAGAGAUUAGUUAAAAAACAAUUGUAACUGUUUUUAAAGAAGAUUUCAUCAAUAUUUAUUGUCAAUUAUGUGUUAAAC